CAGUAGCCGCGGUAAAACGUAGGGUGCAAGCGUUAAUCGGAAUUACUGGGCGUAAAGCGUGCGCAGGCGGUUAUAUAAGACAGAUGUGAAAUCCCCGGGCUCAACCUGGGAACUGCAUUUGUGACUGUAUAGCUAGAGUACGGCAGAGGGGGAUGGAAUUCCGCGUGUAGCAGUGAAAUGCGUAGAUAUGCGGAGGAACACCGAUGGCGAAGGCAAUCCCCUGGGCCUGUACUGACGCUCAUGCACGAAAGCGUGGGGAGCAAACAGGAUUAGAGACCCCUGUAGUCCCUGUCUCUUAUAC
rnacentral:rRNA from 1 species